GGGCCCGCACAAGCAGUGGAGUAUGUGGAUUAAUUCGACGCAACGCGAAGAACCUUACCAGGUCUUGACAUCCAACUAACGAAGUAGAAAUACAUUAGGCGCCCUACGGGGAAAGUUGAGACAGGUGGUGCAUGGUUGUCGUCAGCUCGUGUCGUGAGAUGUUGGGUUAAGUCCCGCAACGAGCGCAACCCUUGUUUCUAGUUGCUACGCAAGAGCACUCUAGAGAGACUGCCGUUGACAAAACGGAGGAAGGUGGGGAUGACGUCAAAUCAUCAUGCCCUUUAUGAUCUGGGCUUCACACGUACUACAAUGGCCGCAAACAGAGGGAGGCAAAGGAGCGAUCCGGAGCAAAACCCCAAAAGCGGUCUCAGUUCGGAUUGCAGGCUGAAACCCGCCUGCAUGAAGUUGGAAUUGCUAGUAAUCGCGGAUCAGCAUGCCGCGGUGAAUACGUUCCCGGGCCUU
rnacentral:rRNA from 1 species